GGACUCAUAGCUUAAUGGUUAGAGCGUCGGCCUACGGAGCCGAAGGUUUCGAGUUCAAGUCUCGAUGGGUCCC
rfam:Trachipleistophora hominis chromosome Tnknown scaffold00042, whole genome shotgun sequence.